rfam:Solanum lycopersicum cultivar Heinz 1706 chromosome 11, whole genome shotgun sequence.
AUACUUACCUGGACGGGGUCAAUGAGCGAUCAAUGAGACCCAUGGCCUAGGCUUAUGACCUCCAUUGCACUUUGGAGGGGUACUUGCCUAAGGUCGGCCUAAGUGGUUGAGCCUACACCAUAAUUUGUUGCUAUGGAGGCCUGCGUUCGCGCAGCCCCUGC